CAACAGCGUAUAUUAAAAUUGUUGCGGUUAAAACGCUCGUAGUCGAAUUCUUGCUAGGUGGUACUGGUGCUUCCCAGUGAAGUAUACGCGGUGUUCGCUUCAGCUAUUACUUGGUGAAGGUGCAUACGCUUCAGUGCGUGUCACACUAUCCAAGUCCUUACUUUGAGGAAAUUAGAGUGUUUCAAGCAGGCAUACGCCUUGAAUACAUUAGCAUGGAAUAAUAAGAUAGGACCUCGGUUCUAUUUUGUUGGUUUCUAGAGCUGAGGUAAUGAUUAAUAGGGAUAGUUGGGGGCAUUCGUAUUUAACUGUCAGAGGUGAAAUUCUUGGAUUUGUUAAAGACGGACUACUGCGAAAACAUUUGCCAAGGAUGUUUUCAUUGA
rnacentral:rRNA from 1 species